GUGGGAAGUAGGAGAGCGUAACUUCAAAGAGCAUGUCUCUAUAAUGUCGUGAACACACGCCUCAAAAGAGGCUUCUAAGCAGCUCCGCAUCGCAGUGACAAACAAGAACGGUGGCGUAUUUGUCAUGAGAAAGACCCAACGACGUCGCUCCAUUUCCUUCUUUAUGAAUCCUGAAUUUCAACAAAUACGGUGGCGUAUUUGUUGUCCCUCUCUCCUGGCUACCACUUUUGCUUGCAUAUAAAGCAGGAGAGGG
rnacentral:misc_RNA from 1 species